rnacentral:tRNA from 1 species
GCCGGGAUGGCGGAACUGGUAGACGCGCCAGACUCAAAAUCUGGUGGGGGCGACCCCGUGCGAGUUCGAGUCUCGCUCCCGGCACCA